AUUCUACUUGUUGCUGUUGCUCGGAAAAGUAUGGCGAAAGAUCAAAAUCAUUGAAAAAAAUGAAUAAAAACUUAGAAGAACAAAUUCAAAUGUUUAUCUUUCCUGGAUAUUCGAUGAACAACGAUUGCUAUCCAUCAGUUGUUUGUCCUGGUUGCCAAAGAAAUCUUUACAGACUCAAAAAGGGAGACUCACCUCGUGGUGAAUGGGGAGCUAAGGUUACCAAGAGUAGAAAACCCUUUUGAGAAAUAGCCCCAGAACCAGUCUAACUCUUCCAGAUGAGAUAACUAAUUUUCCGACAACUAAGUCAAGUAUAUGUUCUUUUUGCUAUUCAUUGCCUGCACCUGGUUAUUCUCAUAACUGUACACCCACCAGUGCUGUGGCAAAUAUCAUUACACUGUCAUUUCUUCUAGGUUCUCUUCAAGCUGAACAGGUUGCUUCUGGAAUUAUAAAAAGUAAAAUGGCUACAGAAAGUUUGGUUGACGGAUCAACAUUUUGUUUAU